UGCCGUGGGCGCUGGAGAAUUGAGGGGGGCUGCUCCUAGUACGAGAGGACCGGAGUGGACGCAUCACUGGUGUUCGGGUUGUCAUGCCAAUGGCACUGCCCGGUAGCUAAAUGCGGAAGAGAUAAGUGCUGAAAGCAUCUAAGCACGAAACUUGCCCCGAGAUGAGUUCUCCCUGACUCCUUGAGAGUCCUGAAGGAACGUUGAAGACGACGACGUUGAUAGGCCGGGUGUGUAAGCGCAGCGAUGCGUUGAGCUAACCGGUACUAAUGAACCGUGAGGCUUAACCUU
rnacentral:rRNA from 1 species